AUGGCAUUUUUGGGGUCAGGAUGGAUUACCUCUGAGUGGGUUUAUAAGAGGACAGGGCAGGCACAAGCAGGAGCCCUCAGGAUGCUGCUGCUUCCUCUCCUGGCCCUGGCUGCAGCCUGGUCUCCUUUGUAUGUUCCCUUUGUCACCGGUUUGUUCUGUUUUCUCUCUUUUUUUUUUCUAGAUGGACAAGCACAAGCACUUCUAGAGCAGAGAGAAGUGUCCAUUACCAGAGGGCACAAGACAAGUACAUCCAUGGACUGUAUAGCUGAGGGUAUUCCUGGCUUCCAGUAUGCAGACACACAUUGGUACCGACACACUCCCACCAAAGCCCCAGAACGGAUUCUGUGCAUUGGAGCCCGUGCAGUUUCUUACCAUGACAGUUCCUUUAGCAACAAGUAUUCUUCUUCAAAGACAGGUACAAAUGUCUGCACUUUGACAAUCAAUGCCAUCAACUCCGAUGAUGAAGGUACCUACUACUGUGCCUACUGGCAUUUCCACACAGCUAGCAGGUGCAGAAAGCUGCCCGUGCCCUGA